rnacentral:rRNA from 1 species
GACAGAGGAUGCAGCGUUAUCCGGAAUGAUUGGGCGUAAAGCGUCUGUAGGUGGCUUUUUAAGUCCGCCGUCAAAUCCCAGGGCUCAACCCUGGACAGGCGGUGGAAACUACCAAGCUGGAGUACGGUAGGGACAGAGGAUUCCGGUGGAGCGGUGAGAUGCGGUAGAGAUCGGAAGAACACCAACGGCGAAAGCACUCGUGCUGGGCCGACACUGACACUGAGAGACGAAAGCUAGGGGAGCGAAUGG